UAGCUGGAACUCAUAGUGGCAAAACACGACACUCCUGGACUGUGGGAAAUAAAAUUGUGGGAGGGACAUGAUUGGAAGGAAACCACUAAAAUUCCACUCAUUCCAGGUUCCUCAAAUUGGUACCAAUGGCAGC